CGCGGGGUAGCGCAGCCCGGUAGCGCGGUCGGUUCAUGCCCGACAGGCCGGCGGUUCAAAUCCGCCCCCCGCAACCA
rnacentral:tRNA from 2 species